rnacentral:rRNA from 1 species
UACAGAGGUCUCAAGCGUUGUUCGGAUUCAUUGGGCGUAAAGGGCGCGUAGGCGGCGGGGUAAGUCUGGUGUGAAAUCUCGGAGCUCAACUCCGAAAUUGCACUGGAUACUGCUCUGCUUGAGGGUUGGAGAGGAGAUCGGAAUUCACGGUGUAGCAGUGAAAUGCGUAGAUAUCGUGAGGAAGACCAGUGGCGAAGGCGGGAUCUCUGGACAAAUCCUGACGCUGAGGCGCGAAAGGCUAGGGGGAGCAAACGGG